ACGCUAGCUACAGGCUUAACACAUGCAAGUCGAGGGGCAGCAUUUCAGUUUGCUUGCAAACUGGAGAUGGCGACCGGCGCACGGGUGAGUAACACGUAUCCAACCUGCCGAUAACUCGGGGAUAGCCUUUCGAAAGAAAGAUUAAUACCCGAUGGUAUAAUCAGACCGCAUGGUCUUGUUAUUAAAGAAUUUCGGUUAUCGAUGGGGAUGCGUUCCAUUAGGCAGUUGGUGAGGUAACGGCUCACCAAACCUUCGAUGGAUAGGGGUUCUGAGAGGAAGGUCCCCCACAUUGGAACUGAGACACGGUCCAAACUCCUACGGGAGGCAGCAGUGAGGAAUAUUGGUCAAUGGGCGCAGGCCUGAACCAGCCAAGUAGCGUGAAGGAUGACUGCCCUAUGGGUUGUAAACUUCUUUUAUAUGGGAAUAAAGUUUUCCACGUGUGGAAUUUUGUAUGUACCAUAUGAAUAAGGAUCGGCUAACUCCGUGCCAGCAGCCGCGGUAAUACGGAGGAUCCGAGCGUUAUCCGGAUUUAUUGGGUUUAAAGGGAGCGUAGGUGGACAGUUAAGUCAGUUGUGAAAGUUUGCGGCUCAACCGUAAAAUUGCAGUUGAUACUGGCUGUCUUGAGUACAGUAGAGGUGGGCGGAAUUCGUGGUGUAGCGGUGAAAUGCUUAGAUAUCACGAAGAACUCCGAUUGCGAAGGCAGCUCACUGGACUGCAACUGACACUGAUGCUCGAAAGUGUGGGUAUCAAACAGGAUUAGAUACCCUGGUAGUCCACACAGUAAACGAUGAAUACUCGCUGUUUGCGAUAUACAGUAAGCGGCCAAGCGAAAGCAUUAAGUAUUCCACCUGGGGAGUACGCCGGCAACGGUGAAACUCAAAGGAAUUGACGGGGGCCCGCACAAGCGGAGGAACAUGUGGUUUAAUUCGAUGAUACGCGAGGAACCUUACCCGGGCUUAAAUUGCAUUUGAAUAUAUUGGAAACAGUAUAGCCGUAAGGCAAAUGUGAAGGUGCUGCAUGGUUGUCGUCAGCUCGUGCCGUGAGGUGUCGGCUUAAGUGCCAUAACGAGCGCAACCCUUAUCUUUAGUUACUAACAGGUCAUGCUGAGGACUCUAGAGAGACUGCCGUCGUAAGAUGUGAGGAAGGUGGGGAUGACGUCAAAUCAGCACGGCCCUUACGUCCGGGGCUACACACGUGUUACAAUGGGGGGUACAGAAGGCAGCUACCUGGUGACAGGAUGCUAAUCCCAAAAGCCUCUCUCAGUUCGGAUCGAAGUCUGCAACCCGACUUCGUGAAGCUGGAUUCGCUAGUAAUCGCGCAUCAGCCAUGGCGCGGCGAAUACGUUCCCGGGCCUUGUACACACCGCCCGUCAAGCCAUGAAAGCCGGGGGUACAUGAAGUACGUAACCGCAAGGAGCGUCCUAGGGUAAAC
rnacentral:rRNA from 1 species